UACGUAGGGGGCAAGCGUUAUCCGGAUUUACUGGGUGUAAAGGGAGCGUAGACGGCAUGGCAAGUCAGAUGUGAAAGCCCGGGGCUCAACCCCGGGACUGCAUUUGAAACUGUCAGGCUGGAGUGCAGGAGAGGUAAGCGGAAUUCCUAGUGUAGCGGUGAAAUGCGUAGAUAUAUGGAAGAACACCGGUGGCGAAAGCGGCUCUCUGGCCUGUAACUGACACUGAGGCUCGAAAGCGUGGGGAGCAAAUAGG
rnacentral:rRNA from 1 species